GCCCGGGUGGUGGAAUUGGCAGACACGGCGGACUCAAAAUCCGCUGCUCCUAGAGCGUGCGGGUUCAAGUCCCGCCCCG
rnacentral:tRNA from 1 species